rnacentral:tRNA from 1 species
GGAGCAGUGCGUGGCCGAAUGGUUACGCUGUCCGCUUUGUAAGUGGAUGAUUCUGGGUUCGAUUCCCAUCUUCUCCA